GAUGAACGCUGGCGGCGUGCCUAAUACAUGCAAGUCGAGCGAACGGACGAGAAGCUUGCUUCUCUGAUGUUAGCGGCGGACGGGUGAGUAACACGUGGAUAACCUACCUAUAAGACUGGGAUAACUUCGGGAAACCGGAGCUAAUACCGGAUAAUAUUUUGAACCGCAUGGUUCAAAAGUGAAAGACGGUCUUGCUGUCACUUAUAGAUGGAUCCGCGCUGCAUUAGCUAGUUGGUAAGGUAACGGCUUACCAAGGCAACGAUGCAUAGCCGACCUGAGAGGGUGAUCGGCCACACUGGAACUGAGACACGGUCCAGACUCCUACGGGAGGCAGCAGUAGGGAAUCUUCCGCAAUGGGCGAAAGCCUGACGGAGCAACGCCGCGUGAGUGAUGUAGGUCUUCGGAUCGUAAAACUCUGUUAUUAGGGAAGAACAUAUGUGUAAGUGACUGUGCACAUCCUGACGGUACCUAAUCAGAAAGCCACGGCUAACUACGUG
rnacentral:rRNA from 1 species